rnacentral:rRNA from 1 species
GGUAAAUUGCUUUUCUGGAGGAAGAGAACGGACGGUACCCGAGGAAUCAGCCCCGGCUAACUACGUGCCAGCAGCCGCGGUAAUACGUAGGGGGCGAGCGUUGUCCGGAGUUACUGGGCGUAAAGGGCACGCAGGCGGUUCGGCAAGUUUGAGGUAACAGCUCCUGGCUUAACCGGGAGAGCGCCUUGAAAACUGCGGGACUUGAGGGCCAGAGAGGGACACAGAAUUCCGGGUGUAGUGGUGAAAUGCGUAGAUAUCCGGAGGAAUACCAAAGGCGAAGGCAGUGUCCUGGCUGGCAUCUGACGCUGAGGUGCGAAAGCUAGGGGAGCGAACGGGAUUAGAUACCCCGGUAGUCCUAGCCGUAAACGAUGACCACUAGAUGUGCGGGGUAUCGACCCCCUGCGUGUCGGAGCAAACGCGAUAAGUGGUCCGCCUGGGGAGUACGGUCGCAAGAUUAAAACUCAAAGGAAUUGACG